UGGGGAAUAUUGCACAAUGGGCGAAAGCCUGAUGCAGCGACGCCGCGUGAGGGAUGGAGGCCUUCGGGUUGUAAACCUCUUUCAGUAAGGGUGAAGGCUCUCUUUUGUGGAGGGUUGACAGUACUUGCAGAAGAAGCGCCGGCUAACUACGUGCCAGCAGCCGCGGUCAUACGUAGGGCGCGAGCGUUGUCCGGAAUUAUUGGGCGUAAAGGGCUUGUAGGUGGCGUGUCGCGUCUGCUGUGAAAGUCAAGGGCUUAACUUUGGGAUUGCAGUGGGUACGGGCAUGCUAGAGUGCAGUAGGGGAGAGUGGAAUUCCUGGUGUAGCGGUGAAAUGCGCAGAUAUCAGGAGGAACACCGGUGGCGAAGGCGGGUCUCUGGGCUGUUACUGACGCUGAGGAGCGAAAGCGUGGGGAGCGAACAGG
rnacentral:rRNA from 1 species